rnacentral:lncRNA from 1 species
CGAAUAGUGUUGCUAGCCCCCAACAGCCCACUCAGGCAUUAGGUCCUCGUCAACAGAGUCCAGUUGUAAAUGGAUCACAGGGCCCUCCUGGAUCAUCAUUGAACCCACAAAUACCCCAACAGGGUCAUCCUGUUAGGCCGCCACAACCUCCAAGCGCAAACACCCCACAAGUACCCCAACCGGGUCAUCCAGUUAGGCCGCCACAACCUCCAAGUGCAAACACCCCACAAGUACCCCAACCGGGUCAUCCUGUUAGGCCGCCACAACCUCCAAAUGCAAACACCCCCCCUGCUCAGGGAAUUGCGCCAAGGCCACCCGUAGGAGGUGGUCUAAGUGGGCUAAAUCAGGCUGGUUCAACGACGGCAAAUCUAUCCACCGAUUGGUUCAGUGGCAAGAAAAGUGCAAGUCCAUUGGGC